rnacentral:rRNA from 1 species
GAUGAACGCUGGCGGCGUGCCUAAUACAUGCAAGUCGAGCGAACGGACGAGAAGCUUGCUUCUCUGAUGUUAGCGGCGGACGGGUGAGUAACACGUGGAUAACCUACCUAUAAGACUGGGAUAACUUCGGGAAACCGGAGCUAAUACCGGAUAAUAUUUUGAACCGCAUGGUUCAAAAGUGAAAGACGGUCUUGCUGUCGCUUAUAGAUGGAUCCGCGCUGCAUUAGCUAGUUGGUAAGGUAACGGCUUACCAAGGCAACGAUGCAUAGCCGACCUGAGAGGGUGAUCGGCCACACUGGAACUGAGACACGGUCCAGACUCCUACGGGAGGCAGCAGUAGGGAAUCUUCCGCAAUGGGCGAAAGCCUGACGGAGCAACGCCGCGUGAGUGAUGAAGGUCUUCGGAUCGUAAAACUCUGUUAUUAGGGAAGAACAUAUGUGUAAGUAACUGUGCACAUCUUGACGGUACCUAAUCAGAAAGCCACGGCUAACUACGUGCCAGCAGUCGCGGUAAUACGUAGGUGGCAAGCGUUAUCCGGAAUUAUUGGGCGUAAAGCGCGCGUAGGCGGUUUUUUAAGUCUGAUGUGAAAGCCCACGGCUCAACCGUGGAGGGUCAUUGGAAACUGGAAAACUUGAGUGCAGAAGAGGAAAGUGGAAUUCCAUGUGUAGCGGUGAAAUGCGCAGAGAUAUGGAGGAACACCAGUGGCGAAGGCGACUUUCUGGUCUGUAACUGACGCUGAUGUGCGAAAGCGUGGGGAUCAAACAGGAUUAGAUACCCUGGUAGUCCACGCCGUAAACGAUGAGUGCUAAGUGUUAGGGGGUUUCCGCCCCUUAGUGCUGCAGCUAACGCAUUAAGCACUCCGCCUGGGGAGUACGACCGCAAGGUUGAAACUCAAAGGAAUUGACGGGGACCCGCACAAGCGGUGGGGCAUGUGGUUUAAUUCGAAGCAACGCGAAGAACCUUACCAAAUCUUGACAUCCUUUGACAACUCUAGAGAUAGAGCCUUCCCCCUCGGGGGACAAAGUGACAGGUGGUGCAUGGUUGUCGUCAGCUCGUGUCGUGAGAUGUUGGGUUAAGUCCCGCAACGAGCGCAACCCUUAAGCUUAGUUGCCAUCAUUAAGUUGGGCACUCUAAGUUGACUGCCGGUGACAAACCGGAGGAAGGUGGGGAUGACGUCAAAUCAUCAUGCCCCUUAUGAUUUGGGCUACACACGUGCUACAAUGGACAAUACAAAGGGCAGCGAAACCGCGAGGUCAAGCAAAUCCCAUAAAGUUGUUCUCAGUUCGGAUUGUAGUCUGCAACUCGACUACAUGAAGCUGGAAUCGCUAGUAAUCGUAGAUCAGCAUGCUACGGUGAAUACGUUCCCGGGUCU